AGAGUUUGAUCCUGGCUCAGGAUGAACGCUAGCGGCAGGCCUAACACAUGCAAGUCGAGGGGGAGGUUACUUUCGGGUGACUGAGACCGGCGUACGGGUGCGUAACGCGUAUACAAUCUGCCUUUCACUGGGGGAUAGCCCGAAGAAAUUUGGAUUAAUACCCCAUAGUAUAGUAGUGUGGCAUCACACAACUAUUAAAGCUUAGGUGGUGAAAGAUGAGUAUGCGUUCUAUUAGCUAGUUGGAGAGGUAACGGCUCCCCAAGGCGAUGAUAGAUAGGGGUUCUGAGAGGGAUGUCCCCCACACUGGUACUGAGAUACGGACCAGACUCCUACGGGAGGCAGCAGUGAGGAAUAUUGGACAAUGGUCGGAAGACUGAUCCAGCCAUGCCGCGUGCAGGAUGAAGGUCUUAUGGAUUGUAAACUGCUUUUGUAAGGGAAGAAUAAGGACUACGUGUAGUUUGAUGACGGUACCUUAUGAAUAAGCAUCGGCUAACUCCGUGCCAGCAGCCGCGGUAAUACGGAGGAUGCGAGCGUUAUCCGGAAUCAUUGGGUUUAAAGGGUCUGUAGGCGGGCUAUUAAGUCAGGGGUGAAAGGUUUCAGCUUAACUGAGAAAUUGCCUUUGAUACUGGUAGUCUUGAAUAUCUGUGAAGUUCUUGGAAUGUGUAGUGUAGCGGUGAAAUGCUUAGAUAUUACACAGAACACCGAUUGCGGAGGCAGGGGACUAACAGACGAUUGACGCUGAGAGACGAAAGCGUGGGGAGCGAACAGGAUUAGAUACCCUGGUAGUCCACGCUGUAAACGAUGGAUACUAGCUGUUUGGAGUAAUUUGAGUGGCUAAGCGAAAGUGAUAAGUAUCCCACCUGGGGAGUACGCACGCAAGUGUGAAACUCAAAGGAAUUGACGGGGGCCCGCACAAGCGGUGGAGCAUGUGGUUUA
rnacentral:rRNA from 1 species